UACGAAGGGGGCUAGCGUUGUUCGGAUUUACUGGGCGUAAAGCGCACGUAGGCGGAUUGUUAAGUCAGGGGUGAAAUCCCGGAGCUCAACUCCGGAACUGCCUUUGAUACUGGCAAUCUAGAGUCCGGAAGAGGUGAGUGGAACUCCUAGUGUAGAGGUGGAAUUCGUAGAUAUUAGGAAGAACACCAGUGGCGAAGGCGGCUCACUGGUCCGGUACUGACGCUGAGGUGCGAAAGCGUGGGGGAGCAAACAGGG
rnacentral:rRNA from 1 species